CAUGCUUCAGACAUGCUCCAGCUUGGAGUAGACAGGGGAUAUUUCAGGGAACAGCAGCAGUACCACGUGAAAGUGAGGGACUGCAGCAGGCAUACCAAAAGGCCAGGGAGGCCAACAGUCACUCUGGUAUCAAGCUCAGACCAAUUGCUUUUACAAAAAGCUGCAUGUAGCGUGACCAGACAGCAUGUGUAAAAAAUUGGGAUGGGGUGGGGGGUAAUAGGAGCCUAUAUAAGAAAAAGACCCCAAAAUGGGGACUGUUCCUAUAAAAUCGGGACAUCUGGUCACCUUAGCUGCAUGGCAUACUUGGCAGACUCCACCACCACCCUGCACACCACCAUGAAUACCUCUGAGAAGCCUGAGUCACAGGCCCUUGCAUGAACAGCGAGGCUGAGGAGGCGAAGAAAAGGGGGGCCACGUGUCUGAGGGUUUCAUCUAUGCCACGAGCCAGGACCCGUUUGAGACUCCACUACACUCCAGUCAAUCCUGGCAGUUGAGCAUGGAUGAGCCCAACACAGGAGAAGGAAUCUCUCUGAGUUUCUCCCUCUACACCCAUGGAACAGGAGGAGUCAGAUAAGGUGGAGAAGGAAGAGGACUUGGAAUGACAUUUUAGUGAGAUCAUGCGUGAGAUCAUGCAAACCAGUGCUGCAUUGGCACAUGAGCAGAGGGCUUGGAAGGUGAAUACUGCAGACUUUAUGGAGAAGGACAGAGCAUACAGAAGAAAGGCACAGGAAAAAGGACAGGAAGAGGCACCAGGACAUAAUGGGGCUUCUCUGGCAGCAAAUAAUGAUGCUGCAGACUCCAGGAUCACGACUGGCAUUUCAACAUGCCAAUUAUAAUCUCCUGUUUCGGAAGUCACUGCUUGUAGCUUUUUGAACAGGCUUGUGUUCUUAAAGAUGCAACCUUCAGUCAUCUGCCCUGACCAGCCAACACUGAUGUCAGUGAACUGUCCCCAGGGAUCCACCAAUGCUUGCAUAACCAUAGAAAAGUAGGCCUUUCUGUUGAGGUACUCUCUGGCAGGGUGCCAAGAAAAGGAUAAGUGUGCCACCUAUUGCUCCACCAGUUUGGGACCCCCAUUGCUGCAGAUCCAGCCACUAUGUCCUGUACUAUUCACUAUGAUCCAGUCACCCUUGUGCAACUUGUUUCUGCCCCAUCGCACAUUGCCAAAUCUUCCCAAAAGACACUGCACUGGAGAGUGGUGGUCUGCAUACUGGGAUACCUACCCAUUGUGCACUGCAAUGUGCAUUGAUGCAAGCAUUCCAGUAUUUCUAUACCUCUGAAGUGACCUCUGCAAGAAUGUGAUGUGGCAGCUGGGAAUAUAUGAGUCCUAAC